rnacentral:rRNA from 1 species
UAAGGAAUAUUGGUCAAUGGACGCAAGCCUGAACCAGCCAUGCCGCGUGGAGGAUGAAGGUCCUCUGGAUUGUAAACUUCUUUUAUCUGGGAAGAAAUCCAUUUUUUCUAAGAUGGUUGACGGUACCAGACGAAUAAGCACCGGCUAACUCCGUGCCAGCAGCCGCGGUAAUACGGAGGGUGCAAGCGUUAUCCGGAUUCACUGGGUUUAAAGGUGCGUAGGUGGGCAGUUAAGUCAGUGGUGAAAUCUCCGGGCUUAACCCGGAAACUGCCAUUGAUACUAUCUGUCUUGAAUGCCGUGGAGGUAAGCGGAAUAUGUCAUGUAGCGGUGAAAUGCUUAGAUAUGACAUAGAACACCAAUUGCGAAGGCAGCUUACUACACGAAUAUUGACACUGAGGCACGAAAGACGUGGGGAGUCAAACAGGAUUAGAUACCCUGUAGUCCACGCCCUAACGAUGGAUACUCGACAUACGCGAUACACAGUG